GACGAACGCUGGCGGCGUGCUUAACACAUGCAAGUCGAACGGAAAGGCCCUGCUUUUGUGGGGUGCUCGAGUGGCGAACGGGUGAGUAACACGUGAGUAACCUGCCCUUGACUUUGGGAUAACUUCAGGAAACUGGGGCUAAUACCGGAUAGGAGCUCCUGCUGCAUGGUGGGGGUUGGAAAGUUUCGGCGGUUGGGGAUGGACUCGCGGCUUAUCAGCUUGUUGGUGGGGUAGUGGCUUACCAAGGCUUUGACGGGUAGCCGGCCUGGGAGGGUGACCGGCCACAUUGCGACUGAGAUACGGCCCAGACUCCUACGGGAGGCAGCAGGGGGGAAUAUUGCACAAUGGGCCGAAGUCUGAUGCAGCAACGCCGCGUGCGGGAUGCCGGCCUUCGGGUUGUAAACCGCUUUCGCCUGUGACGAAGCGUGAGUGACGGUAAUGGGUAAAGAAGCACCGGCUAACUACGUG
rnacentral:rRNA from 1 species